CAAUCGUUGUCCGGAUUUACUGGGCGUAAAGAGCGCGCAGGCGGUCGUUCAAGUCGCGUGUGAAAGCCCCCGGCUCAACUGGGGAGGGUCACGCGAUACUGAUCGACUCGAAGGCAGGAGAGGGUAGUGGAAUUCCCGGUGUAGUGGUGAAAUGCGUAGAUAUCGGGAGGAACACCAGUGGCGAAGGCGGUUAGCUGGCCUGUAACUGACACUGAGGCGCGCAGGCUAGGGGAGCGAACAGG
rnacentral:rRNA from 1 species